UACAGAGGGUGCAAGCGUUGUUCGGAAUUACUGGGCGUAAAGCGCGUGUAGGUGGCAUGGUAAGUCUCGUGUGAAAGCCCUGGGCUCAACCCAGGAAGUGCGCGAGAUACUGCCGUGCUGGAGUGAUGGAGAGGAUGGCGGAAUUCCCGGUGUAGAGGUGAAAUUCGUAGAUAUCGGGAGGAACACCUGUGGCGAAGGCGGCCAUCUGGACAUUUACUGACACUGAGGCGCGAAAGCCAGGGGAGCAAACGGG
rnacentral:rRNA from 1 species